UAUGUAGGCGGUUUAUUAAGUUUUAAUUAAAUAAUCUAAGCUUAACUUAGAAAUUAAUUAUCAUACUAUUAAACUAGAGGUUAAUGGGGGUUAGUUAUACUUUUAAUGUAAGGGUAAAAUCUUUAGAUAUUAAGAGGAUAUUCAUUGGGCGAAGGCGACUUUCCAUGUUAAUACUGACGCUGAGGUACGAAGGCAUGGGGAGCGAAUGGGAUUAGAGACCCCAGUAGUCCAUGCUGUAAAACAUGAAUGUUUUUUUUGCUUUUUUUUAUUAAAAAUUGUAAAUAAGCUAACGCGUAAGCAUUCCGCCUGGGUACUAAAGUCGCAAGGUUGAA
rnacentral:rRNA from 1 species